rnacentral:rRNA from 1 species
AUUUCCCUACGGGGCGCAGCAGUGGGGAAUCUUGCACAAUGGGCGAAAGCCUGAUGCAGCAACGCCGCGUGAGAGAAGAAGGCCUUUGGGUCGUAAAGCUCUGUCCUAAGGGAAGAAGGAAGUGACGGUACCUUAGGAGGAAGCCCCGGCUAACUACGUGACAGCAGCCGCGGUAAUACGUAGGGGGCAAGCGUUAUCCGGAAUUGUUGAGCGUAAAGAGGACGUAGGCGGGU